UUAAACCCGUUUGACUGUGGGAAAAAAAUACUUUUAAACAGUGCGUCUAAAAUUAACUGCGCGUGUGAAAAUAAAUUGGACCUGACGCGCACUUAAUAAAUUGACUGCAAAGGGUUAAACAGUUCAGCAAAUUCCUAUUUAGAUGUUUCAUAUUUCACCACUGUACGCAUGCUUUUAGAACAGCUCUGUUAAAUUCGGUACGCAUUUACUUUAGUUUAGUACCGUACAAGUUUAAGCUUUUUUUCCCCAAUGUACUUAUUUAACAAGGACAAAGAACCCUUUAUACUCAAGAGUGUCUUGGCAAGAUAAAGAGAAAUGUUACAUCAGGUAAGUUAAUUCAGCAGUGUGUGACAGGCAGCACUAUUGUAUAAAGACACAGCUACAAAAUAAACUGCUUACUGUAGUUGUUUGACUACCUACCUACUUAAAAAAAAAAUGAUAAGAAGCUUCCUCCUGCCUGAUCAAAGUUGACCUCUUCUGUUCUUGGCUCCUGCAAACAGAGAUGACAAAGUACCUGUUCCACUGCCAUUUCUCCCUUUCUCCUGGGGCUAUCUGGGGAUGUUUCCAACCCAAAAAUAUAUGAGCAAAAAGUCCAGGCAAUCCUGUGCCAUUCAUCAAAGAGACAGCCCCAGCUAGAGCUCCUGACAACAGAUCUAAUCUUUUCUUUUCAUUUCUUUUUAGGCCUCGGUCCAGCAGUGUGGAGACAAAAGUGUGUGUGUGUGUCUGUGUGUGUGCAUCAUGACUGUGUGUGUAUCUGUGACUGUAUGUGUGUGUGUGUGUGUGUGUGUGCAUCAGUGACUGUGUGUGUGUCUGUGACUGUGUGUGUCUGUGGCUGUGUGUGUGUGUGUGUGUGUCUGUGACUGUGUGUGUUCGUGUGUAUGUUUGCAUUCUUUUUUUGUCAGUGUGUGCGUGUCUUCUGUUUUUGUGGGUGUGUGUGUGUGUCUUUUGUUUUUGUGUGAGUGUGCAUGUAGUAAAAGAGCAUAGUGAUAGGCUGUAUGAGCUAUGGUGUUCCCUUUAUAAGUGUCCCUCCAGCAGCUGUGGGUUUGUGCAAAAUAGUUCCCAACUCGUCUCUUCUCUUUACUAGUCAUCAUAUACUUCAUAUGAAAACAUUCAAUAGAUAACACCAAUGUGAUAAUGUUUGGCUUGAAUGUUUGUUUGUUUUUUUUGCUGGGGAGAUACCUUGAAAGGUGAUCUGAAAGAUCUUCGCACUGGAUUAAUAAAAUAAAUAUAAGGUCCAUAUUUGAGGCUGUCAUUAAAUUCUGGUAGCCUAAUACUAACGUGAACUAACAUUGUGCCAUUAGAAACUCACAGCUGUUUGACUUUUUAAAUUUUUCGUUUUAAAUUCUGCAGUGCAAAACAGACUUUCAGUAUAAUGCAUUGAACCACCCCUCUCUGAAAACCUAAUAAAAUUGCUCAUGUAGAGACUGCAGUGUAUUUAUAGUCUUCUAUCAUUUCUUUUACGUGCUGCAUUAUCUUCUUCAGGGGCAUCACAGACUCAAAAAAAAGAGGAAGCAAUGGAAAACAGCUCUGUUAGGCAGCAGUAAUCAUGACUGCACUAUGUUGAGCAUGAACUGUGUGUUCCUAUAAAGCACAGGCUGAUCUAGAAGAAAAAAAGAAACGUCAACCCUUCACAUUAAAAGGGAGGGUGCAGGGUUCCUGCGGCCGCCAGCUUCAAUGAAAUGACAUCAUCCAGGGAGCCGUACUCACAGCCAAGCUAGGGGGUAGCAGGGGCUCAUCUUUGGAGGGCCUGGGGAGACUUCCACCAGAAGACCAAUCACAGUCAUGUCGGCUUAAUGCACUGUUUCUCUGACCUUUACCACCCCAAAGUUUGAAAACCAGCUCUCCUACCACCUCUGACCAGGACAAACCACUGCUGGUCAUUACUGGAAUUUUCAACUGAGCUUUUCAUCGUAAUUUGGUUAAAUUUUGUCGCCAGAAUAAACUUUUAAUAAUAAACGUUG